UACGGGGGGGGCAAGCGUUGUUCGGAAUUACUGGGCGUAAAGGGCUUGUAGGUGGCCAACUAAGUCAGACGUGAAAUCCCUCGGCUUAACCGGGGAACUGCGUCUGAUACUGGAUGGCUUGAGUUUGGGAGAGGGAUGCGGAAUUCCAGGUGUAGCGGUGAAAUGCGUAGAUAUCAGGAGGAACACCAAUGGCGAAGGCAGCACUCUGGGACGUGACUGACGCUGAGACGCGAAAGCGUGGGGAGCAAACAGG
rnacentral:rRNA from 1 species